AUGAAUUGGAUAAGCUGGAACUGUCGGGGGGCGGGGAACUCCAUGACAGUUCGCGAUCUUGCGUCGCUUGUUAGGACGCAUUCCGAGUCUCUUUUUCUUUGUGAAACUAGGCAAAAUAAAGAGAAGAUGUAUCGUUUAAGAAAUAAGCUAGGUCUUUCUGGUUUUGAAGCAGUCAAUUGUAAUGGUCGUAGUGGUGGUCUAGCUCUCUUUUGGCAUGAGUCUAUGUAC
rnacentral:rRNA from 1 species